AGCGCAGACGGUUGAUUAAGUCUGAUGUGAAAGCCCGGAGCUCAACUCCGGAAUGGCACUGGAAACUGGUUAACUUGAGUGUUGUAGAGGUAAGUGGAACUCCAUGUGUAGCGGUGGAAUGCGUAGAUAUAUGGAAGAACACCAGUGGCGAAGGCGGCUUACUGGACAACAACUGACGUUGAGGCUCGAAAGUGUGGUAGCAAACA
rnacentral:rRNA from 1 species